AUGGUAAGGCUGGAGUGUCGAUCGGCGUUUGGUUUUGUGUGUUGUGUGGAAAAUUAGGAGUGGUAGAGCGCGCGCCUGAGGUGAACUGAGUCAGAUGAUGCAGCGAGAUAGGGGGGGGGACGGGGGGAGAGUGACGUAGGAAAGGAAGAUGAGGAUGGCUGGUCGUGUACGUCAGCGCAUGGGGGCAGGAUGUGACAUCGCAUUUGUGGUCUCCGUGAGAGCAAUGCCAGAACAUCAAUGGAAUGUGGUUGUGAGCUGCCAUACGAGGCGCGGAUCCUUGUCUCCCCAUACUACGGUCCGCAUGUCGUUUUUCUGUUUCGGGUGAUCUCUGCAGUGGAUUGUGAUUUUUGAGUAUGAGAUAGUGGUAGUGGAUGGUGGUAAUAUGCGGCAUCAGUUCAGGUAAUGCGUUAAGUGGAGCUGUUGUCCUGAUGAAAUUUUAGAUUAUGGAAACGUCUUAGUUACGCAGCAAUGCGGGAUCCCUGGAGGUUUCAAGAAGUGCCGUCCUCUAGGGUAGACGUGUAAAGUGGACGUGCGUAGACGCACCGAGGAUGCACGACUCUUGAGAUCCUAUCCAUCGGUUCCGGUUUCGAGUAUUCUGAAGUAAGUGUCCGUUGCCGACUGAGGUAACCGUAAGUUGCUUGUGACGCCGUUGGAUAAAAAAGCGCCUCACACUGUAUGUUCGUCCAUGAUCAAUGCAUCAUCUGAUUAAAUGCACAGAUGCGCAAUACAGUGUCAACACGCUUUCUCUGACGUGCGGAUUUUCUGGAACGUCAUUGUCAUCUUACAUGUGGAUCUUCGCUCCAGGAUGGCGCAAUGGUACGUUUGGAUCAAAGCGAUACGUGGGUAACUUCAUGCGUAAGGGCAUUCCUGAGCACUGUGGGAAAUAGGCGAACCGAUGCUUUGUAUUGUCUCCCCAUGAUCGAGUUUUGCUCUCCCGCACCCGCGUCAUCGUCGCACGUACAUGUAAGAUUCACUCGUACUCAAUACAGUGCUACUGCGGCCUUGGUGGCUGCCGCGUAAGGCUCGAAUUCGCGCGUUGUACCAAAUAGCCACUCUUACAUGGCCACGACCCAUUCGAAACAUGCGUGUAUCAAUUAUUCCGCCAGUGGCUUGUUUACAACUGAGUUGCACGUUGGUGGCCACUUCUUAUGACGGUGUUGGUAUGUCACAAACCCGACUUCUUACGUAAGGCGACGGUGUCUUCUUUCUACCUGUUCUGGUCGAGAAGAUUGACUUCCCUGGAGACGUAAGGCCUGAAAGUCGUCACAUGCGCCUUCGUAUUUUUACUACUCCUCAAGAUCGGCGAAAAGUAUUCAUGAUGGUGACACACAUCGAUAGAUUAGAACUCCUCAGUAAAUCGACUACGUAACCAACCGAGGCCCGACAAAAGCACGUGAUGCACGGAUAUGCUGCCAGACAUCGCAUGACACUUGCGAUUUCUCACGUUGCUUCUGUUGCAACUUUACAAGUAACAUUUUUUUCGUUUCCCUCCUCUUUCCCGCCAGCUCGAAUUUGAGGAUCGGUUCUUUGAUUCCUUUUGUUUUAGAGACUGGUCGCGCAGAAGAUGACCUACGUUGACAACUUUUACGGUAUUUACGUGGCUUCAUACGCUGUGAGGAAGCGGAACGCUGCGAGAUGGUUUUGUCCUAUGGCUGCCUCGUCCUUUUCGCGCGGAUGAUUCCGCUUUAUGUGGGUUGGAAUAUGUUCCACUUUCUUCUGUAUUGGCGUUGACAAUGAAUAGGGUGCAGCGGACAUAACUUUUCGAAAGAGUAGUCGCUCAUUUACAGCAGAAGAGCUAAUGAUGCUGAAUUCAGAUGUCCUAGGUACCAUUGUUCGGCUUCAUCGGUUUCCAGUUCUUGCGCAUCGGCCCCACGAAGAGCGUGAGAGAUCCGCAGUGUGCAAUCUCGCACGCCGACAUGUGCAUGCAACCUCAAUGAACAGGAGGUACGUUUUUGCUGCUUGACUACAUCGCAACAAUAAACCUUGCCAAAAGGGGUGGAAAAUAUUUUCUCUACCGUGGUCGCUGCCGAGCUGUCCAAGAACACGUAAGCAGCCGAUUCGCCAGUGAAGUUGCAACUAUAUGCUUACCAGUUUUCUUUAGGGGCGCAUAUGUGACUGCAUAUUUCAGCACGUGCCGCUUCAUAUUAAUGUCUGUCUACACGCACGGAAUGAAGACAGUUGGACGCCUAGAAGAAACGAAUACACUAUUAAGACAACGCUGUCGGAUUUUGUGCCUCUACUCGUCCAGCUGUUAGUGUGCUCAGGUGUCACCAACGGACAUUUGUCUAUUGGCACAAUCCCAGCAAUCCAACGAUGAGAGACUGAGUAUUUGAAGUGUGGAAAUCGGCACUCGUUCUUCGCAUCGCAUGGAUAUGCCUAGACGGUACUUCGAAAACCAUUUGGACAAUCAACUCUCAGCAAGUAAGAGACGAGACUACAGUACCAGGAGGUUCCGCUAGUGGAACGAUGCUUUCUCAGUUGGAACCGCGUGACUGUCAUAUACCCGCACAGAAUUGCAGCCAUCACGAGAUCGAUCACUGGCCACUGCGUCAUCACCUAAGGCAUGAGUAUUUGAUUCUGUCUGUCUCGCAUGUGGGGAGGCAGGAAUGUCUUUUUCCGUUGAAGAGUGAGGAACCGAUAUGCUGCGCCAGGGUGCACUGGCAGCCCUAGCCAGUUUCGGAGGAGGAAUCUCAGGAUAGAGAACGCACAGGGGCCGCGUCGCGCUCUUGCGAAAACGACAGUGUCCUGUUAGCAGGCACUCAGAAUUGCAACAUAUAAAGUGAAACUCGGCAGCGACGCUAGGAGCUUUGGUGUGAUGUGCACGCUGACUGCCUGAACGUGGACUCUUCCACUUGCGCGGCAGGACUUCGAAGUUAAACAAUUGCGUACAAGGUCAGGUGUGUAGUUGACGCCUCUGAGGGUGGCCACUCUGCACGCCGCCGUAUUGGCUGCACGAAUCGUGUCGAAAUGUACUUGUCUGAGUCACUAUCACAGGACGGGGCUGCCUCGUUCUUUAGGCGAGUCAUCCCUAGUGCGAACGUGCACACACACAUACGAGGGUACAAAAGAGGGGCAAAAUUUCAGGAAACUACGGGAUGCACAGAGCGCCACUUAUUCUUCAUAUCUGAAGAAUAUGGGUCUUUUUCAGGCAAGAUUGUUGCUGUGGAGAGAGACACGCACUCUGUGUACGUAGAACCUGACCUGGCUUCUCCAGGUCUUCCCACACACGAGAGCGGUUUUGGAUUUUCUUUCCUUCCAGACGACUUUGCGGAAGAGAGUGCUCUAGUAUACAUUGGAAACAGUGUUGUAGUUCUGUCUCUCCUCAUGCCGUCUUUCUCAUCCGGAUCUACAAGUCCAUCGCACCUUCAUCCCCCAGGUGUCAAACGUCUCAGGCUCAAUUUGCUCGGUCUUGCUAUGAGUGCCUUAGCACUGUGAGAGUGUCGUUUCGCAGAUCAAGAAGGUGGUAGUAGUUGAUGGAUGUUGCUAUGUGAUACAGCUGAAGGAUGUGAGAGACCACAUUCGCAUGUGCGACUAUGGCUUUGAGGAGAACGAACAACCGUAGACGUCUGAGUGGAUCCACGAUACCUCCACAAGAAUGCGGAGCCGAGGCACCGCGGCUCUGGUAGCAAAGAAGUGCUCACUGGCUUUGUGGUGUCCUCACUAGAAUGGUGCAGACGCGACAAAGCGAUCAGGUAUACACCUAGAGCGCCUCAGGAAACUAUACGCAGC
rnacentral:lncRNA from 1 species